rnacentral:rRNA from 1 species
UACGGGGGGGGCAAGCGUUGUUCGGAAUUACUGGGCGUAAAGGGCUCGUAGGUGGCCAACUAAGUCAGACGUGAAAUCCCCAGGCUCAACUUGGGAACUGCGUCUGAUACUGGAUGGCUUGAAUCCGGGAGAGGGAUGCAGAAUUCCAGGCGUAGCGGUGAAAUGCGUAGAUAUCAAGAGGAACACCUGAGGUGAAGACGGGUUGCUGGGCUGUCACUGACGCUGAGGCGCGAAAGCCAGGGGAGCAAACGGG